rnacentral:rRNA from 1 species
AUUGAACGCUGGCGGCGGGCUUAACACAUGCAAGUCGAACGAGUGGCGGACGGGUGAGUAAUGCUUGGGAAACUGGCUUAUGGAGGGGGAUCACUACUGGAAACUGUAGCUAAUACCGCCUACCAUAGUAUUAGCCCAUGUGGGAUUAGGUAGUUUGUGUGGUAAAGGCUACCUUAGCCGACGAUCUCUAGCUGGUCUGAGAGGAUGACGAGCCAACCUGGGACUGACACACGGCCCAAACUCCUACGGGAGGAAGCAGUGGGGAAUAUUGCGAAUGGGGGGAAACCGGACGCAGCCAUGCCGCGUGAUGGAAGAAGGCCUUCGGGUUGGAAAGUUCUUUCGGUAGGGAGGCGGUAACUACAGAAGAAGCACCGGCUAACUCCGUGCCAGCAGCCGCGGUAAUAC